UAUUUAACUAAUAGUAAUUAGCUGUAUCAACUUAUUUUCUAACACUAUAUUCCUUAAAAAUUCAGGAAGAUUCUAUAGAUAGUCAACUUUCUAAGCUUUUGUUUGAAAAUUAUUUUAUUUGCCCCCAUGACUGAAUGAUCAUUUAUCCUAGUAUGAUUGACAGUUACUUUCUCCAGCACUUUGAGGAUAUUUUGCCAUUGUCUUUCAAUAUUAUUGACUAUUACCUAUAGCAUACAAACUUGCACGUGGUCUCCAUGAUCUUCCCUACUGGUGUUCUUAAUCUCUCCUUCUGAAUGUGGCUGCUUGCUUCUAAUCAAUAGACUAUGGCCCGGGAGAUGGGAGAUCACUGCUGGGAUUAUGAUAUGAGAUGAUAUGUUGCAUAAGACUGCCUCGCUAGGAGACUGGGUCUAGAGCCUCGUUCUCCUUGCUGCAUUGAAGAAGCAAAUAACUGUGAGUCCUAUAACUGCAAGAGAAUGAACUCUGCUGACAAUGUGAAUGGGCUUGGAAGUGAACCCUCUCCCAGCUGAGCCCCCAAAUGCAAACCCUGGCUGACAGCUUGAUUGCAGCCUCACGACCUAGUGGAGGCUCAGAAAACUGACCACCACGUUGGUGAUAAAUGCUGAUACAAGGGAUGCUGGGGUCAUAUUCAUGCUCUGUGGUCGGAUGUUGAUCACCCCUGCCCUCAAAAUGCAGUAUCUUUAACUCAGCUUGAUGAGACCCAGCAAAAGUUGGAAACAACACAAGAACCUGUUUUUCAUAGCUGCUGAAAUGAGCAGGGGGAUGCAACGGGAACAAAAUGUGCAGGUACAA